rnacentral:rRNA from 1 species
CCUACGGGGCGCAGCAGUGAGGAAUAUUGGUCAAUGGACGCAAGUCUGAACCAGCCAUGCCGCGUGCAGGAAGACGGCUCUAUGAGUUGUAAACUGCUUUUGUACGAGGGUAAACGCAGAUACGCGUAUCUGUAUGAAAGUAUCGUACGAAUAAGGAUCGGCUAACUCCGUGCCAGCAGCCGCGGUAAUAAGGAGGAUUCAAGCGUUAUCCGGAUUUAUUGGGUUUAAAGGGUGCGUAGGCGGUCGGAUAAGUUAGAGGUGAAAUCCCGAGGCUCAACUUCGGAAUUGCCUCUGAUACUGUUCGGCUAGAGAGUAGUUGCGGUAGGCGGAAUGUAUGGUGUAGCGGGGAAAUGCUUAGAGAUCAUACAGAACACCGAUUGCGAAGGCAGCUUACCAAGCUACUUCUGACGUUGAGGCACGAAAGCGUGGGGAGCAAACAGGAUUAGAUACCCUGGUAGUC